GCUGCCUCACUGACACGGCGCCGGCGCCCCCCGCUCAAUAAAUACUGCCGGCCCGGGCGCGGGCCCGCCCGCCCCGCCCCAUUGGCUGUGCCGCUCGGAGGAGCGCGGGGCGCGCCGCGGGCAGGUCCGCCCCGCCCCGCCCCGCCCCGCCGGCGACGGCCCCGCCCCGCGGCGCGACGUGACGUGACGUGCGCUCCGCCCCAGGCGCCCCGGGGCGGCUCCGGCUCAGGCUCCGGCUCCGGGCGCUGCGGCCGCGCCGGCUGCUAGCCCCGCUUAAUUCAAUAAUGGGCACUAAGUGCAGGUCCCCGGCCCCGGGCUCCCCGGGGCUCUGCACAGAUAGAGAUCGCUGGCGGCGCGGAGCGGCCUGACUCGCUGUAGUGGUCUGGGGGCUCUCCGGGGGCGCCAGGGUGAGCUCCGCCGACAUCCCUCGAAAUCAUCCCCUUACGGAGGCGGCAGCGCCGAGUUUCAUAAGCAAAUGCAGCGGCUCUGGCUGCGAGCUUGGCGGAGCCGUGUUUAAUGAAUAAACAGCAGUACAAACCCCUCUCUGCAGGAUGAAAGGCAGAGUCAAAGGGAGAGGCGGCCGAACCCUCCCCGUCUGCGCUCGCCACCCCGCGCUCCCGGCGCUGCCACCGGCCUCGGCGCGGCUCCGCUGCCAGCCCUGCCCCGGCGCUCCAGGCUGUGCGAGGAUGCAAAAGCGUUGCAACACGCGGGAUGCCAGAAGUUUCACUGCAGACGGUUUUGUGGGCUUUUGGGGGGGGGUUGUUUUGUUUUGGUUUUUUCCAAGGUUAUGAAAAACCUGUGUUUGGGCUUGAUGCGGCGUGGAGGUAACAGCAACUGGGCUGAAAGUGGAGUGUCACUGUGGUCUGCAACCCACCGGGUCCACAGCACCUGCACGGCCUGGGAUGGACUGUGCAGCUUGCGGGGCUUCUGCGCCUCCCUGGGAUCUUCCAAACUGAUGUCACAUCCAUUGUGAGACAGCAGACCCAUGGUCAGAGCCGUCAGCAAAUACACCCUGCAGUAAUGCUACCGUCCUUCCACAGUGUCCUUUCAAAAACCAGCUUCAAGUUCACUUGGAUGGAAGCACAAAGUGAUGUUCCACCACCAGUGUGUGACACAGCUCCUGCAAGAGCAAACAGGACCAGAUUGGCCUUGAAAAAGGGACAGGAGACAGACCCAGCACAAAGCAGUAAUAACAACGUGUUCUGCAACCAGAAGGAAUGUGGGAUAAUGACUACAAGGAACCAUCAAGGAAAGUGUCAGGAGCCUGAGGCCGCAUGAGGUGUCUCCAGCAGCCAUGGGAGAGCAGCCUGGAGUCUCCACUUGAAUGGACUACGCAGCCCCACAGAGCACAGGGCUGCUCCCUCCCACCAGAUAGGGUGAAGUCCUUUGAAGCCAACCCGAAUGAAGGACCUGGUUGCAAAAUCAGCCUCUGGGCACUUCAGGGAAAGGGACUACUUUGGGAAGCAUCUCACAGGAACACGUUCCUCUCUGCCUCGGCUCAAAACUGUUUCGCAGAUGCAAAAUUUUAUCUUUAAGAAGAUGAACCAAAAGAAGGGAUCCAUCCAAAGAGGCUCUGCAGGCCACCCAAAUGGUGGUUUGGUUCUUUUAUUUCACAAGGCAAUAGUUGCAGUGCCAAAGCUUCUGCCAGAAGGACUCAAGAAUUAAUGAGUCCUUCUUAAAGACCAAUUCAAACCAGCAUCCAAGGUCCUGAACUAUUCCAGACCAGGACUUCUCCUAUCAAACAAGCAGCUGCUCAGUGGAGGUCCUGCUUUUCCCUACAAUCCCGUUCAAGAAAAGGCUCACUCUUUGCCACCAGGAGCAUGUGAGCAGAGCAGCCAUGCAAGUGUCUACCUCCCAAUGCCAGCUGGUGAAAUCCCUCCGAUGAAACCCCAGACUACAUCCACCACCUUCCUCAGAAGCUCCAUGUGCUUGAGAGCCCCAGUGCAGGCACGAGAGGAUGACUGGCAUGAGGGGUUUAGGUCUUUCCUAGAUCAAGGAGGAAAAUAAGACAUGCCAAGACAGAGGCCAACCUAGCAGCACUUUCUGAGUACGACUGAAUGAGAGAAAAGCUCCUCUCUGACUCUGCAGAAAAAAAGAAAUAAAAAUAAAAAUAUAUCAA